UACGUAGGUGGCAAGCGUUGUCCGGAAUUAUUGGGCGUAAAGCGCGCGCAGGCGGUUCUUUAAGUCUGAUGUGAAAGCCCACGGCUCAACCGUGGAGGGUCAUUGGAAACUGGAGAACUUGAGUACAGAAGAGGAAAGUGGAAUUCCACGUGUAGCGGUGAAAUGCGUAGAGAUGUGGAGGAACACCAGUGGCGAAGGCGGCUUUCUGGUCUGUAACUGACGCUGAGGCGCGAAAGCGUGGGGAGCAAACAGG
rnacentral:rRNA from 1 species